rnacentral:rRNA from 1 species
UGCGCCUUGCCAGCCCGCUCAGAAACUUAAAUGAAUUGACGGGGGCCCGCACAAGCGGAGGAACAUGUGGUUUAAUUCGAUGAUACGCGAGGAACCUUACCUGGACUUAAAUGCAGGACGACCGGUGCCGAAAGGUGCCUUUCUUCGGACGGCUUGCAAGGUGCUGCAUGGUUGUCGUCAGCUCGUGCCGUGAGGUGUCGGGUUAAGUCCCAUAACGAGCGCAACCCCUACCGUUAGUUACCAUCAGGUUAUGCUGGGGACUCUAGCGGGACUGCCACCGUAAGGUGCGAGGAAGGUGGGGAUGACGUCAAAUCAGCACGGCCCUUAUGUCCAGGGCUACACACGUGUUACAAUGGCCAGUACAAAGGGCAGCUACCAGGCGACUGGAUGCUAAUCUCUAAAGCUGGUCUCAGUUCGGAUCGAAGUCUGCAACCCGACUUCGUGAAGCUGGAAUCGCUAGUAAUCGCGCAUCAGCCAUGGCGCGGUGAAUACGUUCCCGGGCCUU